GACAUUUAAUAUUUUGUGAAUUACAGCUAUUUAUUUCAUGAGUGCAUAAAUAAGGGCUUUAUUGGACGAGUAUUGUCAACUGAAUAAGACUGACUGGUAUAAAUGGCACGAUUACGCAUGUAUUCACUAUGUGGUGCAUAUUCACAUACAGGGGAUUUAUGGGCUAUGGUGCCAGAAGAGAGAGAUUAGAUGGGUGAUAGAUUUAUUAUUAGUCUACUAAUCUCUGAUGACGCAAAUAUGACCAUAGAUUAACUAAGUAUGACCAGUAUAUUGUCGAACUGAAUCGACGUCGAUUUUUGGUCACUUUUUGACACGAUUAUCAAAACAACGUAUCUAAACUAGGUAAAUGGAACUAAUCACACAAUGAAGACGUGACUCACAGAACUCCAAUGCUGUCAUUCAAAUCACUUUUUCGUAUAAAUAAAUGAAGUUAAUUUACUUGGUACUUACUAAAAGCUGGCUUGCUUAUUAUGGAUAAUAAUAAUUUACCAAUUUUUUUAUUUGCCCAUUAUUUUAUAUAAAUAAUUUGCCCAUUUUUUUAUUUGCUAAAAUUGAUUGAUUACAAACAAAUAAGAGUACUACAAUUUUUUUGUGUUAUUUUCUUGUCUCAUGAAUAUAAUUAAAUCUAGCUUA